GCAGUGAAGAUGCUGUGUACCCGCACCUAGACGGAAAGACCCCGUGAACCUUUACUACAGCUUGGCACUGAACAUUGAACCUACAUGUGUAGGAUAGGUGGGAGGCUUUGAAGCACAGUCGCUAGAUUGUGUGGAGCCGUCCUUGAAAUACCACCCUUGUAUGUUUGAUGUUCUAACAUUGUUCCCUUAUCGGGAAUGUGGACAGUGUCUGGUGGGUAGUUUGACUGGGGCGGUCUCCUCCCAAAUAGUAACGGAGGA
rnacentral:rRNA from 1 species